GCAAGCAGUCCUAGAUAUGUUAAAUAUGUUGCAGUAUAUCUAGAUACAAUACAUAUUUGCAGAACCGAACAGUUCUCUUGUUGCACAGGGAGAAUUGGAUUCAGAAGGUAAAAAUAACUCGGGAAGAAAAUCAAAAAUGCAAAUAGUUCACAUUCAUUUCCCAGUAUUCCUUCUUUGGGUGUAGCUGUUUCUGUCCAUCAUUUCUCCAAUGAAACUCAGUUAAGUCUUUUUGUCAGAGAAAUCCACUUCCAUCAGAAUACAUCCUCACACAAUAUCGUUGUCGAAGUGUAUAAUGAUCUCCUGGUUCUGCUCAUCUCACUCAGCAUCAGUCCAUGUAGGUCUCUCCAAGCCUCUCUGUAUUCAUCCUGCUGGUCAUUCCUUACAGAGCAAUAAUAUUCCAUAACAUUCAUAUACCACAAUUUACCCAGCCAUUCUCCAAUUGAUGGGCAUCCAUUCAUUUUCCAGUUUCUAGCCACUACAAACAGGGCUGCUACAAACAUUUUGGCACAUACAUGUGAAUAUCUUUUGAUCAUUUAUCAAUUGGAGAAUGGCUUGUAUUUUUUUUUUAAUUUUUAUUUAAUAAUUGCUUUAUAUUGACAGAAUCCAUGCCAGGGUAAUUUUUUUACAUUAUCCCUUGCACUCGUUUCUGUUCCGAUUUUUCCCCUCCCUCCCUCCACCCCCUCCCCUAGAUGGCAAGCAGUCCUAUAUAUGUUCAAUAUGUUGCAGUAUAUCCUAGAUACAAUAUAUGUUUGCAGAACCGAACAGUUCCCUUGUUGCACAGGGAGAAUUGGAUUCAGACGUUAUAAAUAGCCUGGGAAGAAAAACAAAAAUGCAGAUAGUUCACAUUCGUUUCCCAGUGUUCUUUCUUUGGGUGUAGCUGCUUCUGUCCGUCAUUUAUCAAUUGAAACUCAGGUCUCUUUGUCAAAGAAAUCCCCUUCCAUCAAAAUAUGUCCUCAUACAAUAUCGUUGUCGAAUUGUAUAAUGAUCUCCUGGUUUUGCUCAUUUCAUUUAGCAUCAGUUCAUGUAAGUCUCGCCAGUCCUCUCUGUAUUCAUCCUGCUGGUCAUUUCUUACAGAACAAUAAUAUUCCAUAACAUUCGUAUACCACAAUUUACCCAGCCAUUCUCCAGUUGAUGGGCAUCCAUUCAUUUUCCAGUUUCCAGCCACUACAAACAGGGCUACUACAAACAUUUUGGCACAUACAGGUCCCUUUCCCUUCUUUAGUAUUUCUUGGGGAUAUAAGCCCAAUAGAAACACUGCUGGAUCAAAGGGUAUGCACAAUUUGAUAACUUUUUGGGCAUAAUUCCAGAUUGCUCUCCAGAAUGGUUGGAUUCGUUCACAACGCCACCAACAAUGCAUUAGUGUCCCAGUUUUCCCCGCAUCCCCUCCAACAUUCAUCAUCAUUUUUUCUUGUCAUCUUAGCCAAUCUGACAGGUGUGUAGUGGUAUCUCAGAGUUGUCUUAAUUUGCAUUUCCCUGAUCAAUAAUGAUUUGGAACACUCUUUCAUAUGAGUGGUAAUAGUUUCAAUUUCAUCCUCUGAAAAUUGUCUGUUCAUAUCCUUUGACCAUUUAUCAAUUGGAGAAUGGCUUGAUUUCUUAUAAAUUUGAGUCAGUUCUCUAUAUAUUUUGGAAAUGAGGCCUUUAUCAGAACCUUUAACUGUGAAGAUGUUUUCCCAGUUUGUUGCUUCCCUUCUAAUCAUGUUUACAUUAGUUUUAUUUGUACAAAGGCUUUUUAAUUUGAUGUAAUCAAAAUUUUCUAUUUUGUGAUCAGUAAUGGUCUCUAGUUCAUCUUUGGUCACAAAUUUCUUUCUCCUCCACAAGUCUGAGAGAUAAACUGUCCUAUGUUCCUCUAAUUUAUUUAUAAUCUUGUUCUUUAUGCCUAGGUCAUGGACCCAUUUUGAUCUUAUCUUGGUAUAUGGUGUUAAGUGUGGGUCCAUGCCUAAUUUCUGGAAUGGCUUGUAUUCUUAUAAAUUUUAGUUGGUUCUCUAUUUUAGAAUGUAGGCCUUUGUCAGAAACCUUGGAUGUAAAAAUUUUCUCCUAACUUACUGCUUCUCUUCUAAUCUCGUCUGCAUUGGUUUUGUUUGUACAAAAGGUUUUUAAUUUAAUAUAAUCAAAAUUAUCCAUUUUGCAUUUCAUAAUGUAUUCUAAUUCUUUGGUCACAAAUCCUUCUGCACAGAUCUGCCAUAUUUUGUUCUUAUUUGCUUAUAGUAUUACUAUGUCUAAAUCACAAACCCAUUUUGACCUUAUCUUGGUAAAGGGUGUUAGAUAUGGGUCAAUGUUUAGUUUCUGCCAUAUUAAUUUUCAAUUUUCCCAGCAAUUUUUGUCAAUAAGUUCUUAUUUGGAUUUCUUUUCUUGUCUGUAGUUUCUUUUGUAAACAUGAUUGGUUUGGAAAUGUUUUUCAUGACUGCAUAUGAAUAACCUAUAAAGGGAGAAAAUUUGGAAUUAAAUAAUUUUAUUUUUUCUAGCUCUAUAAAAUAAAUUUCUUGGCAGUCUGAUUCACAUAGCAUUGAAUAAGUAAUUCCAUAUUAGUCAUUUGGUAAAAGACAAAGAUAUCAAAAAUAAGUAUUCUUAAUUCUAUAUUCAAAAUUCACUGGUUCUCUUUCUGGAGGUGGAGAUAUCACUUUAGCAGCUGAAAAAAUGGCCUGGAGUUUUGACAAGGUAACUAGCAGAUCAGCAAAGUGUUGUAAGCAUGUAUAUACAUGAGAAAAUCUCAUCCUGUCAUUGGUGAUGAGAUAAAGAGAUAACAGAUUUUAUAAUGGUACGAUUAGAAGAAUUCAGAACUGGCUGAAUGACCUGACCCAAAACAUAGUAACUCACUUAGAGUUAUCAAUAUGUUCCAUUUCACCUACUAAUGUUUACUACAGCAAUAAGGUUGAUGAGGGCCUGGAAACAGAUUUUUAUAUGAAAGAUACUUUUUCCCCUUUUUUCCUUGAUUCAGAAGAUAAAAAUUAGGGAAAAUGAAGUUAUAAUUUUUUUUAAAAAAUUACUCAGUUUUUUAGUCAUGUCAACUCUUUGUGACCCCACUCUGGGGUUUUCUUGACAAGUAUUCUAUGGUUUAGCAUUUCCUUUCUCAACUCAUGUUACAAAUGAGGAAACUGAGGCAAAUAGGAUUAAAUGAUUUGCCUAGUCACACAGAAAGCAUUUCUUCCUGACUCCAGACCUGGGAUUAUAUCCAUUGCACUACAUAGCAGUGGUUCCCUUUUGGCCUUUAAAAUCAAAUAUAAACUCUUAUUUGGCUUUUUAAAGCCCAUCUUAUCCUGGCCCCAACCUACUUUUCCAGCCUUGAUGGACAUUACUCUUCCUGUAAGUUCUGUUCGAUACACACACACAUACACAAACUUCGUCUCUGGAUUUUUGCACUGGCUCCCCAUGCCUAGAAUACUUCCACAACUCUCCUUCACAGAAUCAGAAUCUAUACCAUGUUCUCAUCAUUUGUAUAUAUACCCCCAGCACGAAGCACAGCUCCAGGAAUAAAGUCAAGACUUAAUGAAUAUGCUGAUUGAAUGAUUGGACCUCAGAAGUUAUAGAAAAUUGACAGAAAAGGUGGAUUAGAAGUACAGGUGAAGGUGACUAGGAUAAUCCUUCAAUAGAAAUGGGGAAGUCGGGAGAGGGAAUGGGAGGAAUGACAACAUUCUGUUUGGGGCACUGAGUUUGAGAUGGGGAUGUGGCAUGCAGAUGGCAAUGUCUCAUUGUUAGAUGGAAUGCUUUGUUCAAGAAAGAAAUUAGGGGUUCAUAUUUCAGUUUUCAAGUCAUCUGCAUAGAGAAAUUGAACUCAUAGAAUCAGAUAGUCACCAAAGUUGAAAACAGAGAUUAGUAGAUACGGUUCAGAACGUCAGGGAAUAAUCCUUAGGCAGUGGGUACAGGAAUGGUGAUCAGCAAAAGAAACAGAAGAAUUAGUCAAAGGAGUAGGGGAUGAGUGUGCAGAGAGCCAAAGGAGAAGAAAGUAAACGGCAUGAGAUAUUUGGAAAGCACUUUGCGAAUCAUGUAUGCUGUUAUUCACAUAACUCAGAAGUGGAUAUGGUUAGCAUUAUUAUGCAACUUUCUCUAGUAGGGUGGGUGUGUUGGAUGGUGAGGAAAACUAAUAGUUGUGGGGUGCUAGGGAGUUUGGCAGGAAGGGAAGGGAACAAGUUAAAUAGGAGAUAUGAAUGUUUGACCAGAUCUUGGUAGGGCCAAGACAGUGAAGAAAGAAAAUGAAUCAGGAAAAGCCUACUGAACUUAAGAAAAUGAGCAGGGAUGAAUGGUUAAAGAUACAAGGUAGAGGGAGACAAAUGUACCUGAACUUCAGGAAACUGCCCUAGACUAGUGGCAAGAAUCCUAAACUGGAAAUCAAGGAGGACCAGGUCUGAGUGCUGCCUUUGCACUAAUUGUCUGAAAGCUUGAGCAAGACUCAUAUUCCUGAGGCUGAAUUUCUUCAUCUGUUAAAAAGAAACUGAACUUACAUAAACUGAUACUAAGUGAAGCAAGCAGAACCAAGAAAAUAUUGUACAGAGUAACUAUGAAAUUAUGUGAGGAUCAACUGUGAAAGAUGUGGCCCUUUUCAACAAUGAGAUGAUUCAGGGCAAUUCCAAUAGCCUGUGAUGGGGAGAGCCACCUGUAUCCAGAGAGAGAACUAUAGAUACUGAAGGUGGAUCAUUGCAUAGCAUUUUCACCUUUUUGUUGUUUUGUUUGCUUAUUUUUUGUUUUUUUUCCCUCUUGACAUGAUUUUUUUUUUGUAUAGCAUGACAAAUAAGGAAAUAUGUUUAGAAGAAUUGCAAUGUUUAAUCUGUAUCUGAUUGCUUACUGUUGUGAAGAGGGAAGAGCAGGAGAAGAAGAAACAUUUGGAACACAAGGCUUUGCAAAGUUUCGUUAUGAAAUGUUCUUCCUGUUACUCGGAGACGCCUUCUUUCCGAGGGCUGUACAUCCUUCCAUCGCACCCUGGCAUUCCCGCUCUUGGACACACCAGGAGGCCUGAGGUCAAGGUAGAACCUUUCGGCGGGAGGCCCCGUUGCACGUCAUCACGCGACGUCAUCGGGGGCGUUCGGUGGGCCCCGCUACCGAUAGAGCCGGGCCCUCGCCCUUUUAAGAGCGGAGGCGGUCAGGGUCACGUGGCGCAAAGGGGUGGGGCCGAGGCACCAGGAAGCGGCCUCCUGCUCCCGGAGCUGUAACCCGGGCUGCCGCUGCCACUGCCUUUCCUGCAGCCCCUCACGUAGAGCCCCGUGUGCUCCGCUACGCUCGAGGAUCGGCCCCGGCUCCUCCGCGGGGGUCAGAGCGGAGCUGCCGCCCGCCGAGAUGAGCGAGGAGGAGGACUAUUACCUGGAGCUGUGCGAGCGGCCGGUGCACUUCGAGAAGGCGAAUCCCGUCAACUGCGUCUUUUUCGAUGAGGCCAACAAGCAGGUUUUUGCUGUUCGAUCUGGUGGGGCUACUGGAGUGGUUGUUAAAGGACCAGAGGAUAGGAGUCCCAUCUCAUUUAGGUAACAGUAUUAACUGCGUUAUGGCCUCUUCAAAGUAUUUUCAGCACUUAAGCAAAUGUGGUAACUACCAACCAUCCUCUGCUGUCAGUAAUAUAGUUCAGAUUUUCUGAACCUAUUUGUCUUUUCUUCUUGACUAGAACAAUCUGUCGUUAGAUUUGCAGCAAUCAGUCACUGAGACAAGUCAUUGAGAGUAGGAUGGAGAAUUUGGUUUGUGGGGACGCACAUUGGUGGGUUUGCUGACCUCCCAAGACCUCUUUAUUUCUGCUUCCUUAUCUGGCUUAUGUCUUUCCACAGUAUUUUGUCUGUGAAGAAUAUUAGAUGACAUUUAUGUAGCAAUUUAAAUUUCACAAAGUGUUUUACAUACAUUAUCUCCUCUGAUUCUCACAGCAGUCCUGUGAGGUAGGUAUGACAAUUGUUACCCCAGUUUUAUAGGAUUUAGGAACUGUGAAAGAGUUUCUGUGCCAGUGUUUUCUCAUGAAACAGUAUUGUAAGAGAAAAGUGUUUCUUCCCUCUGACAAGGAGAGAAUCCAAUGGUGAUUAUUGUAGGAAAAAAAUAUUUUAAUGCCACCCAUUUUGGACCCUCAGUCUAUCUUCUUGGGUUGAAGAUGGGAGACUUGGAUCUAGGAGUGGAUUGUGUAGAUUAAAAACUUGAAGGUUGGGACAGCUAGGUAGUGCAGUGGGUAGAGCAGCAGCUCUGAAGUCAGGAGGACCUGACUUCAAAUCUGUCCUCAGUCACUUUACCCUUCCUACCUCUGUGACCCUGGACAAGUUACUUAACCCCAGUUGCCUCAGCAAAAAACAACAGGCUUGAAGGCAGUAAUCUUGUCUUACUCAUUUAUUUGACAAUGUUAGGAUAUAGGACAACUUUGAAUGUAGCUUCUAUCUCUGAAAGGAAAAACAAUCUUUUAUUUUAGUAAGACAUUCAAGCAACUAUUCAAAAACACUUAUCAAGCAUCUAUUGUGUGUCAGGCACUACGCUAACUGCUGAGGAUACUGAUCUUGAUCACAAGUUUGACUUGGGCUUUUACAAAUGAAAAAGUUGUGCCUUAAGUCUUAUAUUGUGUGUUGUUAAUAGGAAAUAGCUUUUGAAUUAGAUAGAAAACUUAGUUUUCCCUUUUGUUACUCAGGUUCUGCUAAUUCACAAAGAUGUUUGCCAAGAAGUAUAGUUAUCAAAAAAAUAUAAUCUCAUAUAAUUUGGUAUAGUUAGUUUUUGAGUUAUGUUGCUGCCUUUUGUUUUUAUACCUUAGUCUUCCUGAUAAUAAACCUCUACCUCAAAAGCAGUUUCUCUUGUAACAAUAAAAAUCACUUUAGGAAAACCAACUGAUGUAGCAGCCAUGACAGUAUAUGCAACUUUUCCUGCCUAUUAAUCCCCGAUUUCUCAGUAGAAUAGAGUAUGUUCCAUUACCUGCCUUUUGCAUUUUAGUAUUAAUUUUACUUGAAUUUGUAAAUGGUGUGUAUUGUUUUCAUGACCCUUCUCCCCCUGUAUAAUGACUCAUGUAACCUUCCAAAAUUUCCCUGAAUUUCUUAUAUUUCUCAUUUCAUACAGUAUGAUGGUGACAUUACAUUUAUUUACUACAAUUACAUAUAAUUUACUAUAAUACUAUAAUUAUAGUAUAAUUUGUCUUAAACUGAUUGAUACCUACGUUGUUUCCAGUUUUUUUGGCAACCACAAAAAGUGUUGGCACACAUUUUAAUGUAUGUGGUACCCUUCUUUCUGUCUUUGAUCUUCUUUGUGUUUAUUACCAGUAACAAGAUCUCUGGAAGACAAGGAGUAGACAGUUUGGUAUUUUUGUAUAAUUUUAAAUUAUUUUGCAGAACAAUUAGACUAAUUAAUAGGUCCACCAAUAAUGUGUUGAUAUGCCAAUCUUUGACAUUAUUUUCAUAUUUUAUUACCUUGUUUAACUUGAGGGGCACACAGUAAAACCUGAAAGUCAUUUUUAUUUACAUAGCUACUUGAAGCAUUUCUUCUUAUAAUCAUUGACAAAUUUUUCAUUUUUUAAGAAAUUCUGUAUCCAUAUCCUUUGACCACUUUCCUAUUGGGGAAUUGCUCUUAAUCUAAUAGGUUUGUGAUAUUUCCCUAUGUUUACAUGGGAUAAUAAAUUUUUAUUGGAAAUGCAUGUUGCAAAGAUUUGUCCCCGCUCAGCUGCUUCAUUUCUAUCUUAGCGCAUUAAUUUUGUUAACACACAAGUUCUAUAUUUUAUUCUUUGUGAUUUCUCCUAUCUGGUUAUGAAUUCCACCCAUGUGUAGUUUUAAAAAGUAUUUUCCUAAUUUCCUUUCUAAUUUUUAUAAUGAUAUGAUCUUAUAUUUAGGCUGCUUAUCCAUAUGACAGUUUAUGAUCACCUUUCCAGCUGGAUUUGAUGGCCAUCCCCACAAAGUUUUCAGGUGUCCAGUACUAUUGAAUGGACCUUCCACUGUCCCCACAGUAUUUUUGUGAUAGUCUUCCGCCAUAUUGUGAGUAACUUUGUUGAGGGUAAGAAUGCUUAUCUACACUCUGGGCUUAAGGAGAUGCUGCUAGUAUCUAAUAGUAUCUAAUUCUGAUACCUUUAUCCAGCUACACAGAUCUAGAGCUGGAAGGGACCUUAGCGGUCAACUAUUUCAACUACUUUCUCAUGAUGAGAAAGCAGCGUCAGGGAGGCUGGCUCCAUGAUACAGAGCCAGCAAGUAUUGCUGGAAGGAAGAUGCAAGCCCAGUGGGGCUUGAGCUUAUGGGUAAGAUCUCUUGCUCUAAUUUAGCGAGCUGGUUAUCAACUGUUCAUUUAGGUGGUGGAAACAGGGCAAAGCCGCAGCAAUCCCCUUCUCAAAAGACCUGUUCGGACCCAAGCUGUUAUUGAUCAGUCUGAUAUGUACACUCAUGUUCUAUCAGUAUUCACAAAGAAGGUUGGUAAAUAAAAUGUUUCAUUUAGUUUAUCCUUUGCUCAGGAAAUAAUAUUCUAGAAAAUAAAAGAAUUCAAGGAAGCUAAAUUGCUUAACUUAAUAAUGUAUUAAUAAUAAUAUAAUAAAAAUAACUUAAAUAA